AGAAAGCAAUUACCAGACUGUAUCUGGCAGUCAGUUUCUAAAGGUGAACUCAACUCUGCAGGCUGUGCAUAGCAAAGUCUAGGAAGAAACCAGAGGUCCACUGGAACAGAUCCACUGCACAGCAUCCAGAAGAUGGCUGUCUUAGCCCUUCCCUCAUUGUGCUGAGGGUUGUUCUCUCACACCACUACUUCAGGUGCUGCCAAAUUGGGGCUAACCAUUGUCAUUUGUAACAGAAAUCAGCAGUAAUUAGUAGUGAAGAUAAACACAUUUGUCUCAGCUGCCUGCGGAGGGUUUGGGAUUGAGAGUAUGGUUGGGGAUAGAAAGGGAGCAGUCAUCUUCUCUGAGCCUUCAUUUUGCUAAGGCUGAUGCUGUCCUUGAAUUCAGUUACUCCUGUCAAUACUGCUUCUAACCCAGAAGAUGACUGUAGACAACGGCACAAGAGUGAAGCACAUGUUUCUUUAUGACCUGCUUGGGAUUUCCACAGAUAUAGCACCAUGAAGCUCCAUUCUCCUCACACUAGUGAAGGAUUAAUGGAGCAUUAAAGCAUUGGGUCUGCCUUGGACACUAUCACUAGAGUUACGUAUACAACUUCAGCCCCAUUGAAGUUUAACAACAAAAUGAACAAAGGGCAAAUUGUAGCACAUUAAGACCUCAAGUUGAGACCAACUUCCUUGGCAGUAAGAGGCAAUUUGAGUCUUUCCGACUGCCAGUCCUCCCCUGAACAGAGUCCAGCAUCAUUUUGUGGUCUGUUUCCAUCUAGCUGUGUGGGAGAAUAAGGCACAUAAAUCAACCAACUUUUGAAAUAAGGAGAGAAGGAAGUCUGUGUUCAGCUGGCUGGUUUGGGGGUGUAGACUAUUAUCUGUUACAGACUGGGCUUAUGUGCUAUUGUUUAAUUGUUUUUUUCACAAUUCCUAUAAAAGAACUUUGCAGUGGCUCUCUAUCUCCUAGUUCUGCAUGGUCUUUUGUGAUUAUAUGUCUGGUCUCUCACAUCCCUGCUCUCUUAGCUAAAGUGAACAUGGAGGGAGAAUCCAUUUCUAAGCACUUGGAGGAGAAGAAGGUGAUUAGGAACAUCCGGCAUGGAUCACCAAGGGCAAGUCAUGUCUGACCAACCUGAUGCCUUCUGUGAUGAAGUGACUGGUUCUGUGGAUCCGAAGAGAACAGUGAGCAUGAUAUACCUUGACUUUAGCAAGGCUUUUGAUGUGGUCUUCUGCAACAUUCUUGCAAACAAGCUAAGGAAGUGUGGGUUGGAUGAAUGGACUGUAAGGUGGAUAGAAAACUGACUGGAUCAUUGGGCUCAAUUAAUGGCUCGAUGUCUAGUUGGCAGCCAGUAUCAAGGGGAGUGCCCCAGGGGUCAGUCCUGGGGCCAGUUUUGUUCAAUAUCUUCAUCAGUGAUCUGGAAGAUGGGAAGGAGUGCACCAUCAACAUGUUUGCAGAUGACGCCAAGCUGUGGGGAGGGCUCCAGACAUGCGGGAGGGUAGGGCUAGGAUUCAGAGAGACCACAACAAAUUGAAGGGCUGAACCAAAAAAAAUCAUGAGCUUCAAUAAGGACAAGUGCAAAGUCCUGCAGUUAGGAGAGAACAAUCUUAUGGAAUGGUAUAGGCUGGGGACUGACUGGCUAAAGACCUAGAGGUUGCAGUGGACAAUAAACUGAAUAUGAACUAACAGUAGGUGCAUCUACAUGAGGCACUUACUGCAUGGUAGCCUAAUAACACUAUGCAGCAACAUGCCAGUCAAAAACCAUGCUAAUAAGCAAUUGCACAGUAUUAUUAGGCUACUUCACAGUAACAUCACAAAAAAAACAGGUGCUGGCACUACUGUUCAUAAUUGUAGUUACUGCAGAGUUAGUAUUUUAUUAAGGAAGCACUAAACUAAAUGAGAGUAACUACUGUGCAUUAAUGAAUGUGUAGAUGCACAUAGUGUGUCCUUGUUGCCAAGAAGGAGAAUGGCAUACUGGGCUGCCUGUGGCAUACUGUGGCACUAGUGAGGCCACAUCUGAAGUACUGCAUCCAGUUUUGGGCCCCCUACUACAGAAAGGAUGUAGACACAUUAGAGAGAAUUCAGUGGAGGGCAGCAAAAAUGGUUAGAGGGCAGGGGCACAUGCCUUAUUUGGAGAGGCUGAGGUAACUGGGGUUAUUUAGCCUGCAGAAGAGAAGACUGAAGGGGGAUUUAAUAGGAGCCUUCAACUCACUGAAGGGGGGUUCAAAAGAGGAUGGAGCUAGACUGUUCUCAGUGGUGGCAGAUGACAGAACAAGGAGUAAUAAUGCCCAGCUGCAGCAAGGGAAGCUUACAUUAGAUAUUGGGAAGAACUUUCUCACCAGGAGGGUAGUAAAACACUGGAACAGGUUACCCAGGGAAGUUGUGGACUCUCCAUCCUUGAAGGUUUUUAAGACCUGUCUUGACAGAGCUUUGGCUGACCUCCUGAGGUCCCUUCCAACCCUAAUAUUCUAUGGUUUCUAUGAUUCUAUGAACACUAGUGAGGUGGAGAAUUAAUUCAUUGAACACUGAUUAAUUAAGACAAAAGAUGUAGUUUCUCACUAAGCUUACACACAAUAGUAGUCUACACUAGGUUCACCAUGUCUAGUGUGGAUUAAUAGUGGGUUUAUUCCUGAGAUGAUUUCCAUACGGAGAAUAGUUGAUAGUAAAGAUAUGUGCCCUUUUUUUAGCAUUCUGGAAAAGAGAAUGAUAAUACCCUGUCCCACUGCAAAUUUUGAUGUCUCAGAAUUUGUCCAUAACACUUACUUUAGUAAAAGGAAAAAAACUAAUGAUUUUGUGACAUGCAAAUCUUCAAAACAUACAUUUUCUCGUUAUAAGUGGUGAUUUUGAAUUGAUGCUUGCUCACAAUAGCAGGAGCAUCCAUCCCAAACUUCACAUCCAAAAACCUCUAUCAAAGCCAAUACAUUCUCAGAAAAUAUUUCGGCUACAAUGAAGAGCAUGUUUCAGUGAAGAUUUGCUUAAUUAUAAAUAUUCGUUCUAUCUAACUUAGGGAAUCUUCAUGUAUUUCUAAGAACCCUUUCCACAAGGUGGCUAUGGAAAUUCACUGAAUUGUAGUUUAUCCUCUGGUUACUCUAGUUUGCCACCUCCCAACUGGUCCCAUUCUUUUUUUUUCCUAUAGUGUUCUUAUAAUAGAAGGGAGCUUGAAGCCAUUUUAAGACCAUGAAAAUCUCCCCUUAUCUCAGUAGACUUUCUGAAACUAUGGGAGAAGGGCCAGGGUCCAUCUAGGGGCUUUGUGUCUCCUUCUUCAUGCUCUGCCCCCUUUGUAUUUAGAUGCCAAUCAGCUUUAAUAGGAUACACAAUUCAGAAAUCUUUUGGCUAUUCAGUAUUCCCUUCACUUCCUUUUGUGUGAAAACCAAUCACAUGUCCCUUUCUUGCUAUUCCAAGAAAUCAAAGUGUCUGCAAGUAUUACUGUACAGUAUAAAAAAAACCCUAUGUUCUUGGUAAACUGCUAGAAAUUCUUUGAAAAAUUAAAAAAAAAUCUGAAUCAACCCUUUCAUUUUUUAAGGUAGAAACAAGAAAUUGCAUGUAAGCAGAAAUUGGAGGCCAAUUUCAAUUUUACCCUUGAUUGGCUUCUCACACAUUCUGCCCUGCGAGCCUGACCCAAUGUGUCCUACACUCAGAAUGCUCAUACAGUAAAACAUGGGCUGCCCUCUUGCAAUGAAUCUGAAAGAUCUUCAUGAUGACUGAAACAGCAAAUGAUUUAAAAAAAAUGGUACAAGCUGAACAAAUUGCUAGGAAAAUCUCCCUGUAGGGAAGAGCACACAAAAGUGGAACUGGGCCCCUUGAAGCAAUGCUGCGCCUGCUGGCCAGGCUACCUUGCAGCAGAAUUGCUGCUGCUGCAGCCCAGGGAGGGCUCCAGGGGCCAGCAUAAUGCUACCCCCAGCCUCCCAUGACCAGGGUAACUUGCUGCACACCAAAGAGCACGUGGCACAGGCGUUCCUUGGGGACAAGUAGUGGCAGCACAAGGUACACCAUUGCUAUUUGUCCCCAGGGAAUCAAACGUCCACACUCUGGACAUGCCCCAUGAGUGUUUGCCCACAUUCUCACUCGCUUGCUUGCUUGCUCACUUAUAAGCUACUGUUGUGCAUACAAUGGCAAAUCACAGAUCCAAACAGAAACCCAUCACCUACUUGAUAUGGGAAGUUUUUGCAGCUCUACUGUAAAGAUCUAAUGACUAUACAUUUUGGAAAUAUAUUGCAUCUUAUGGCUAAUACAUUUCAAAGCUAUUUUAAAUAAGCUCUAGCCAAAGAAUCAGAUAAAAAGAAAAAAAAGACCUUUUAAAUCCCAUUGAUUUUUAGUAAGGAGUAAGCACCUAAAUGCCUUUAGGAAUGUGGUCUUAAGAGGUAUAAGAUGUAUUAAGCUAUUUGUUGUUAAAAAAUCGUGUUGCCAGAAGUCUGGCCUGUGCUGUUUAUAUUAGACCAGCUAAUCUAGUCCCCAAGCUACUGUGAGAUACCUGCACUAUGUCAAAGCAAUCAGAAACUUCUCAAAAUGUUCUGUAAUAAAUAUUUUUCCUUUUCUUUUAUUGAUGUAUGUUUGUUAUGGAUAGGACCUGUUUUGCUGAAAAAUCAAAUAAAAAUGCUCUGCAGCAUUUUGAACAGAAACAGAGGCCUAAGAGGAAAUAACAGGACUUGGGAGAGGGAAAGAAUCAUUUGGAAAUGCCUGCAGUUUCUGGGACAGGGUAGAAAACAUGAAGAAAAUAGAUUAUAGCAAGAAACCAGACAUGACUAAAAAAUGCAAGGCCUUGGGAGCCUGAAGUAAAACGCAUAUCUACAUUAUCUAGGCUGUAUCCAAGAUGCUGCUAUAAAGCUCACCUAUGUACUCCUAUUCCACGUAUUAAAAAUCCUAGAAAUGAGGCAGCUGCCUGAGACUAGCACUGACCUGAAGUAGAGAUCCCAAGAGCAGUGCUGGGAAUUUACUCAUCACUACUUUAAGGCUUUUUUAGGAAUUGCUUCACAUGAGGCAGGAACAAAUGAGCAAGUCAUGCCUUGCAGUGUUGCCCCCAGGUAUAAAAUGGAGCCUGGGUAAACAUGACCUAGAAGGAGCAGACUUUGCUUAUUAAGUGUUGUAUACCUAUGUGUAGAUAACCUGGCUACAGGUGGGGCUCAAGAAUAUAUAGUAUGGUUCCUGGGUUUUAAAAUUCAUUGUUGCGUACUGCAAAUACCUUCCUUGAUAUAGCUAUUUUAAUGGAGUUUUAACAGUGGUUAUCCAUAUGGCAUUUGUGGAGCAGUUUAGGUGAUUGCCUCCAUGUGUAAAUAUAGAUAUAUGUGUUGACUUCAACUUGCAUUUGCAGUAAGAUUUGAUAAGGAAAAACCUGGGCUCACUGAAGCCUGAACUUUUUGGAGCCCCUGGACCACAGAAACUGCUUUCAACUUACGCAGUGAGUUUUGGAAAGAUUCACACAGAUCUGCUCCAUAAUUUCCCAUUGCUGGCAUUCCUCAGUGCAAUAUGACCUAAUAUUUUCAAAGCUAUGGAAUUUGCUAAAUAAAAUAUUUCUUGCUGAA